CGUAGGGUGCAAGCGUUGUCCGGAAUUAUUGGGCGUAAAGAGCUUGUAGGCGGUUUGUCGCGUCUGCUGUGAAAUUUCGGGGCUCAACCCCGAACUUGCAGUGGGUACGGGCAGACUAGAGUGUGGUAGGGGAGACUGGAAUUCCUGGUGUAGCGGUGAAAUGCGCAGAUAUCAGGAGGAACACCGAUGGCGAAGGCAGGUCUCUGGGCCAUAACUGACGCUGAGAAGCGAAAGCAUGGGGAGCGAACAGG
rnacentral:rRNA from 1 species